rnacentral:rRNA from 1 species
GAUGAACGCUGUCGGCGUGCUUAACACAUGAAAGUCGAACGAGUGGCGAUCGGGUGAGUCACACGGGGGUGAUCUGGCCUGUACUUCGGGCUAAGCCUGGGGCACUGGGUCUAAUACCGGAUAGUAUGGGACGAGCUCGCGGCCUAUGAGCUGGUUGGUGGUGUAAUGGCUACCAAGGCGCGACGGGUAGCCGGCCUGAGAGGGAGUACGGCCACAUUGGGACUGAGGUACUGCCCAGACUCCUGCGGGAGGCAUCAGGGGGGAAUAUUGCACAGUGGUCGCAAGCCUGAUGCAGCGAGGCCGGGUGGGGGAUGAAGGCCUUCGGGUUGUAAACUCCUGUCGCUAGGGACGCGGUACCUGGAGAAGAAGCACCGGCUAACUACGUGCCAGCAGCCGCGGUAAUAC